CUUGAACUUGGAAUCAGCCGUGGACUUUGGUCAUUGAUAAAUAAUUUUCUACUGAAGGCUUCAAAGACACUCAUGGAAACAUGUCUGGAUAAAUAGGAGAAUGUAUGCAACCCAAAGCUGAGACAAAGAAUCUGGGCUUCAACAAGAUACAUAACCUCUGUCCCAGCUAUCAGCAUCAUGCCAUGGACACACAGAUCCACACACACAAUAAAGGAAAAUUCUAGAAUAUGAGCAACUCUGGCAACAGAAGAUGGCGUGGCACUGGUGAAGACACA
rnacentral:lncRNA from 12 species